GAUGAAGAACGCAGCGAAAUGCGAUAAGUAAUGUGAAUUGCAGAAUUCAGUGAAUCAUCGAAUCUUUGAGCGCACAUUGCGCCCGCCAGUAUUCUGGCGGGCAUGCCUGUCCGAGCGUCAUUUCAACCCUCGAACCCCUCCGGGGGGUCGGCGUUGGGGAUCGGCCCUUUACGGGGCCGGCCCCGAAAUACAGUGGCGGUCUCGCCGCAGCCUCUCCUGCGCAGUAGUUUGCACACUCGCAUCGGGAGCGCGGCGCGUCCACAGCCGUUAAACACCCCAAACUUCUGAAAUGUUGACCUCGGAUCAGGUAGGAAUACCCGCUGAACUUAAGCAUAUCAAUAAGCGGAGGA
rnacentral:misc_RNA from 1 species